CGCCUCGCCUAACCACUCCGCCCGCUCUUCCUCUCCUUUUUCCCAAGUCCCCGGCGUCGCGGCCCGCCGUCCCCACCAAGCACCACCCGUCCGCCACCGCCACCGCCUCCCUCUCCCUCUCCACCCGCAUGCGCGCCGCCUCCCCCAGCGCCCCAUCCCCCUCGUCGUCUCCUCCGGCGGACGGGGUUGGCCCCGCGGCGCCGAUGCGGGGCAACGUGUACUUGGGGCAGCAGCUCGCGGCCGCGGCGGGCGCCCCCGUGCGUGCGCCGGAGGAUGACACCGAGAGGCGCCACCACUGCAAGGAGAAGCGGAGGGCCCUUGCCAAGAAGACGCCCUUCCCUUUUCUCCCAAAUCAAUCAAUCAAUCCCCCCUCGCUCCAUCAAUCACGUGGGCAGGGCAGGGCAUCCCCUCCAAGAUUUGAUUUUGCUUCUAAAUCUUUAGGGGAGGGGAAGGAAGGGAAGGGGCGAUGUAGGAAGGAAGAUGGAUCAGCAGGAGGAGGAAGCGUCCGUCUCCAUCAGCGUCAGCGUCACCGUUCCUUCCUCCUUGCCGCCGGAGGAGGAGGAAGAAGAAGGGCAAGAAGAGGAGGAUGACAUGGCUGCGGUGAAGAUGGCGCUGGGCCCUCAGGUUCCCCUCCUCCACCUCCACAAGGCUAGCAAAGCAACUUGCAUCUGCAUCUUUCUUUCUUUCUUUCUUUUUAAUACUAGUAAUAGAUAGUAGAUACUGAAACUGCAAAUGGAUGGAUGGAUCUAUGUAAAUAUGUAAUGUAGGGGGAGGAGGAGGAGGACCAGUCGAUGAAUUUGAGGUUUCUUUGAUGCUUACUGUUGUGAUUCAUAAAGGUCAGAAUCUGAUCCCGUAAGUAAGAUUAUUAAUUUCAACUGAAUCAUUUUUUGGGCAGUGAGUCACUCACUCAUUCAUCUAUGUAUACUGAUUAAUUUUUUCCAGUUGGACCUGCCUGCCUCUGCAUAUAUAUUCAGAUAGAUAGCGCAUAUGUUUGACCUGCCUGCUGUGCAAAAUACCACCACACAAGGCAGGGUGGCACCACCGAUCCUGCAGCUCAGUUGCUUCAAACUUUGACAGAAGGGCCACAACCCAGUUCCAUUAAUAAGAAAUGAUGAAACAAGCAGGUUUGGGGUUCUGAAACUUGGACAAAAAGCAAAGCUAAAAGAGAAAAACAGCAAAUGCAGCAAAAAAAAAUAGAAGAAUGCUUUUGUAAACUCAAUUGUAAGGUUUUCGAUGUUUAUUUCCAUGUUUUGUUUGUUGCCAUUCAGAAUCAUGUGCGUGCCACUGCUAUGCUAUGUUUUCAUCUUGCAUUUGAGCAACCAAAAUGUUGAAUUUAUAUCUUCAGUUUCGAUCUUCCAUGUCUUUGUGAAAGUUCAAUCCAACCACCAGUACUGUACUCCACAAAAUAACAUUUUUGGUCCGAGAUAAAUAUGUCUAUGUGUUCUUUAUGAUUAUUACUACUCCAGUAGUGAAUGUUGGAGUAUGUUGAAGCAGCCGUGGAGUCCCGCGGUGCCUUUUUUGUAUCUUGCCAACUGAAGAGGUGGUUGCAGAGGUGGACAGAGAUGACUACAACCUGCUAGGAGCUGAAACUCUGAAACUUCCAAAGAAAUCGACACUUCAGUUCAGCUCAGACAAUGUUUCGCUGCUUGCAAAUCUUCUAAUGGACAACUUGCAACUUGCCGGUUCACGCUAUAGCGCUCAACUCGUUAUCUCUGAACUUGGCUGCAUUUUGUUGGAGCCUAUUACUGCCAUGUUCAGCUACCUAGUGGUCCAAUAUAAGAAAAGAACCAAGGCUUGAGGACACGGGCCAUAGGGUGGGCACAAAAUCAUUGUGGAAGUCUGCAGAAUAUUGAUCUCUUUCUUUCAAACACACCACACUUCUUUACAAUAGUUUUGUACUGGCUGGGUGGCAGUGAAAGCCAGGACGCACUAUCUGAAGUUCUGGUUGGCAUCACGUCUCCCCUCGACACUGAGUUCUUUUGCAGAAGUGCUCAUUCUGCAGCUAUGUAUGCUGUCACCUCCAUGGCCAAGUUGGUAUUGUUCUAAGACUGAAGCAAGGUUCUUAUUUUUGUGGAACAAAACGGAUCAUGUUAAAUGGCAUUGUCACCUGGUUCAAAUUGCCUAGGUUAUAUUGACAAGGCAUUUUGCUGCUAUUUCUAAGAAGUGGAUAGAAGGUUUAAACUAUGAUACAUCAUAUCUGAGUUGGUUCGUACUUGGAGUUGGAGAGAUAUUUGCAAGUUUUUGAAUGGUCCUAUCGGUGGCAUAUUUUUUCCUGCCUACUUCACUUAUAUCAGGAUAUUUAGAA